CCUACGGGUGGCAGCAGUGAGGAAUAUUGGUCAAUGGGCUUACGCCUGAACCAGCCAAGUCGCGUGAGGGAAGACUGCCCUAUGGGUUGUAAACCUCUUUUGUCAGGGAGCAACGCCGGCUACGUGUAGCCGGACUGAGAGUACCUGAAGAAAAAGCCUCGGCUAACUCCGUGCCAGCAGCCGCGGUAAUACGGAGGAUGCGAGCGUUAUCCGGAUUUAUUGGGUUUAAAGGGUGCGUAGGCGGAAUGUCAAGUCAGCGGUAAAAUCGCGGGGCUCAACCUCGCUCCGCCGUUGAAACUGGCGGUCUUGAGUGGGCGAGAAGUAUGCGGAAUGCGUGGUGUAGCGGUGAAAUGCAUAGAUAUCACGCAGAACUCCGAUUGCGAAGGCAGCAUACCGGCGCCCAACUGACGCUGAAGCACGAAAGCGUGGGUAUCGAACAGGAUUAGAUACCCCUGUAGUC
rnacentral:rRNA from 1 species